ensembl:lncRNA
AGGAGGCUGUUGUCCGGCCGCUGACCCUCCCCCCCUCUCCCUAACCCUACCCUUGCCAAAGAUCCCUUCCUCUCUGGCAAGGGCAGGGUUAGGGAGAGAGAACCCCUUGUCUGCCCUAAUUCUCAAGAGUCCUGUUCUGUAGACUCAGUGAAUCCCCAAGACGUCGACAUCCUCCUCCUUGAGUAAUAUCCUGCUCCCCAAUUCACUGAUUGGUGUGUGUGUGUGUGUGUGUUACACUCACUUUUUCUUUCCAUUAUAAAUAACAGGUACUCCAGCAGGAGGAGGGAGUGCCCCGUCUCUCUGCUGAGAAGGAACAGCUGAAGCAGCAGGACCAGAAGAAGGACGAGCAGGUGUCCCGUCUGCAGCAAGAGGUGCAAGAGCUGAAGGCACAAGUGUCCCUACUUCUCUCCGCUGAGAAUCAAUGGCUGAAGCAACAGAGCCAAGAGAAGAACGAGGAGGAGACGUCCCGUCUGCUUCAAGAGCUGGAGGGUCAAGGGUCUCCUCUGCAGCAGGAGGUGCAGGAUCUGAAGGCACAAGUGUCCUGUCUCUCUGAUCAGAACAAAGGCCUGAAGGAGCAAGUGUCCCGUCUCUCCGCUGAGAACCAACAGCUGAAGCAACAGUUCCAAGAAAGGGACAAGCAGGUGUCCCGUCUGCUUCAAGCGGUGCAAGAGCUGGAGGGGGAAGUGUCUCACCUGCAGCAGCAAAACCAGAGGAAGGAUGAGCAGAUGUCUCACCUGCAGCAGGAGGUGCAGGAGCACAAGAAGGGUCCCGAAGCCUCUGGAGCCCAGCAAACCACCAGAUGGCUUUCAUGGGUCCGAAGCCAGAUUCUUCCUGCCAAAGACAUCAUCAUCGAGGUCCGGAUGGCUGGGAAGACAGGUGGCUGUGAGAUGAAGCUUCUAGAGGAUGUCUCCGAGCGCCUGGCCCAAGAGGGAGUCUCUCUAAAAGUGAGGAGGUUCACAGAGAGGUUGUCGGAGCACCUCCUUCUCGUUUUCUGCCCCAUCGCUUCUCGGAUGGUUACUGACAUUGAAAACGCCCUCGAGGGACUCAGUGGCGAGCAGAAGGUCCUCCUGGUGGUGAUGCACUUUAUCCCAAAGGACAACCCAGGGCCCUUUGUGGACGCUCAGCACCGGGUGCCCCAUCCAGCCGUGCACACCCGCUUCACCCUAAAGGACGGCUUUUACCCUUGCCAGAUGAACGAGACGGCCGUGGCUGAUGUGGCAGCUGCCCUCAAGGCCCUGGCUGAAGAUCAGUGAGGGGGGGGGGCCCGGCUGUUCCCCAUGUCCAUUUCAUGCCAUGUUAUGUUGUGAGAAAGGGCUGGGGGAGGGGGGUGUCAACACAUGGAGCUUGCUGCAGGUUGUGUUAGGACCAUCUGGUGAUCACACCUUGGGAGCUGGGAGGGUGUGGGAUGUGUGCACCUCCUAAGCCAUGCAAUGCCUUCAGCUGGGGAGACCAUCGGUUGUGGUCGGGGAGAUGUAACCCCUCCCUGGCCCUCUGAGCAUGGGCAGACCUGCCUGCAACCUCAGGCUGACUGGGCAGAGAUGCCCAUUUGUGCUUCUGUGUGUGUCAUGGGAGAGGAGUAAGUUUGUAGGGGGGGGGUUUCCUCUUGUGCUUUUACAGUCCCAGUGGGUGAUUUAAAACAGGAGGAGAGGGGAUAUAUUAUAAAUUAGAUUAGGCAUCCUUCAGUCUCGAGAGACGAUGCUCUGAAUGGAGGACUUGGAACAGCAUCUAGGGUGGCUGAGGAGGCCAAUUCGAGAGGGACACAAUCCCUUCCACGCUGAAGACAAAUACAAUCUGUCCUGCCCAGCUGCCUGAUUUUGCUGGGUUUGGGGCUGCCUCUUGGCCUCAGCCUGCUGGACAAGGGUCUCUUCAUUAUACAAAGCUCUGUUUUUAUAUUUUUUCAUGGUGUUUGUGAAAUCACACACGAUUGCUCAUUCUGUGCAUCCACAAAUGCCUUUAGAGCAUGGAUUCCUAACCUGGGCUUAUGACCCCCAAGUGGAUUACAAAGUGUUUCCUGGAGGCUUGGUGCAGUUCUUUUUAGUUGCAAUAGUUUUUAUAUUUAUUAUAUUAAAUAUAGUAUACACAAUACUGUUUUAUUUUAAUCCUCCUGGCCCCUCAGAGAGAUCGUUUUAUUCUGAAAAAAAUAAAAAUUAGGGCACGUUAGAUUUAGUCA